UACGAAGGGGGCUAGCGUUGCUCGGAAUCACUGGGCGUAAAGGGCGCGUAGGCGGGUUCUUAAGUCAGGGGUGAAAUCCUGGAGCUCAACUCCAGAACUGCCUUUGAUACUGGGAAUCUCGAGUCCGGGAGAGGUGAGUGGGAACUGCGAGUGUAGAGGUGAAAAUUCGUAGAUAUUCGCAAGAACACCAGUGGCGAAGGCGGCUCACUGGCCCGGUACUGACGCUGAGGUGCGAAAGCGUGGGAGCA
rnacentral:rRNA from 1 species